rnacentral:rRNA from 1 species
UACGAAGGGGGCUAGCGUUGCUCGGAAUCACUGGGCGUAAAGGGCUCGUAGGUGGCCAACUAAGUCAGACGUGAAAUCCCUCGGCUUAACCGGGGAACUGCGUCUGAUACUGGAUGGCUUGAGUUUGGGAGAGGGAUGCGGAAUUCCAGGUGUAGCGGUGAAAUGCGUAGAUAUCAGGAGGAACACCGGUGGCGAAGGCGGGUCUCUGGGCCGAUACUGACGCUGAGGAGCGAAAGCGUGGGGAGCGAACAGG